rnacentral:antisense_RNA from 1 species
GUCAUAGUGAGGGGAUUUUUGUUGGUGUGGCUUAAGGUCGCCUAGUUUUUAUUGCGUUUACUUAGCCAAUAAGUAAAGUACGCGAUGGCACAGC